UGGCUGAGUGGUAAAGCUCUUGGCCCCAAGCCAGGGGUUACGGGUUCGAAUCCCGGU
rnacentral:tRNA from 1 species